UACGGAGGGGGCGAGCGUUAUUCGGAAUCAUUGGGCGUAAAGGGCGCGUAGGCGGCCCGAUAAGUCAAAGGUGAAAUCCCUCGGCUCAACUGAGGAACUGCCUUUGAAACUGUCGGGCUUGAGGCCGGGAGGGGGUAGCGGAAUUCCCAGUGUAGCGGUGAAAUGCGUAGAUAUUGGGAGGAACACCAGUGGCGAAGGCGGCUACCUGGACCGGAACUGACGCUGAUGCGCGAAAGCGUGGGGAGCAAACAGG
rnacentral:rRNA from 1 species